rnacentral:rRNA from 1 species
UCCUGGCUCAGAGCGAACGUUUGCGGCGGGCCUAACACAUGCAAGUCGAACGCACUAGCAAUAGUGAGUGGCGCACGGGUGCGUAACACGUGGGUAAUCAACCCUUCAGCUUGGGAUAACGACUUGAAAGGGUCGCUAAUACCGGAUACGGCGCGGGAGGCUUCGGCUUCUCACGAGAAAGCCUCGCAAGGGGCACUGAAGGACGAGCCUGCGGCCCAUCAGCUAGUUGGUGAGGUAAGAGCUCACCAAGGCGAAGACGGGUAGCUGGUCUGAGAGGAUGAUCAGCCACACUGGAACUGAGACACGGUCCAGACUCCUACGGGAGGCAGCAGUGGGGAAUAUUGCGCAAUGGGCGAAAGCCUGACGCAGCCACGCCGCGUGAGCGAUGAAGGCCUUCGGGUCGUAAAGCUCUGUGGGGAGAGACGAAGAAAGCCCGUGAAGAGCGGGCCUUGACGGUAUCUCUUUAGCAAGCACCGGCUAACUCCGUG